rnacentral:rRNA from 1 species
AUUGAACGCUGGCGGCAUGCCUUACACAUGCAAGUCGAACGGCAGCGGACCUUCGGGUGCCGGCGAGUGGCGAACGGGUGAGUAAUAUAUCGGGAACGUACCUUUCAGUGGGGGAUAACGUAGCGAAAGUUACGCUAAUACCGCAUAUUCUGUGAGCAGGAAAGCAGGGGAUCGCAAGACCUUGCGCUGAUUGAGCGGCCGAUAUCAGAUUAGCUAGUUGGUGAGGUAAAGGCUCACCAAGGCGACGAUCUGUAGCGGGUCUGAGAGGAUGAUCCGCCACACUGGAACUGAGACACGGUCCAGACUCCUACGGGAGGCAGCAGUGGGGAAUUUUGGACAAUGGGCGCAAGCCGUGAUCCAGCCAUGCCGCGUGAGUGAAGAAGGCCUCGG